CCUACGGGUGGCAGCAGUGAGGAAUAUUGGUCAAUGGCCGGGAGGCUGAACCAGCCAAGUCGCGUGAAGGAUGACGGCCCUACGGGUUGUAAACUUCUUUUGUCAGGGAGCAAGUGGGUCCGCGCGUGGGCUUAGCGAGAGUACCUGAAGAAAAAGCAUCGGCUAACUCAGUGCCAGCAGCCGCGGUAAUACGGAGGAUGCGAGCGUUAUCCGGAUUGAUUGGGUUUAAAGGGUGCGUAGGCGGAAUAGUAAGACAGAGGUAAAAUUUCGGGGCUUAACCCAGUCGUGCGGUUGAAACUGAUGUUCUUGAGUGGGCGAGAAGUAUGCGGAAUGCGUGGUGUAGCGGUGAAAUGCAUAGAUAUCACGCAGAACUCCGAUUGCGAAGGCAGCAUACCGGCGCCCAACUGACGCUGAAGCUCGAAAGCGUGGGUAUCGAACAGGAUUAGAUACCCGAGUAGUC
rnacentral:rRNA from 1 species